GCCGGGAUGGUAGAGCGGUCAAAUACACGGCUCUGUAAAAGCCGCGCCUUUAUGGCUACGUAGGUUCGAAUCCUGCUCCCGGCA
rnacentral:tRNA from 1 species